rnacentral:rRNA from 1 species
UACGUAGGGGGCAAGCGUUGUUCGGAAUUACUGGGCGUAAAGCGCACGUAGGCGGAUUUUUAAGUCAGGGGUGAAAUCCCGAGGCUCAACCUCGGAACUGCCUUUGAUACUGGAGAUCUUGAGUUCGGAAGAGGUUGGUGGAACAGCUAGUGUAGAGGUGAAAUUCGUAGAUAUUAGCUAGAACACCAGUGGCGAAGGCGGCCAACUGGUCCGAUACUGACGCUGAGGUGCGAAAGCGUGGGGAGCAAACAGG